rnacentral:rRNA from 1 species
CCUACGGGUGGCAGCAGUAGGGAAUAUUGCUCAAUGGGCGAAACCCUGAAGCAGCAACGCCGCGUGGAGGAUGAAGGUCUUCGGAUUGUAAACUCCUUUUGUUAGAGAAGAUAAUGUGGGUAUCUAACUAAUAAGCAACGGCUAACGCCGUGUCAGCAGCCGAGGUAUUACUGAGGAUGCGAGCGUUAUCCGGAUUUAUUGGGUUUAAAGGGUGCGUAGGCGGAUCGUUAAGUCAGGGGUAAAAUUGUGGGGCUCAACCCCUUACCGCCGUUGAAACUGGCGAUCUUGAGUGGAAGAGAGGUAUGCGGAAUGCGUGGUGUAGCGGUGAAAUGCAUAGAUAUCACGCAGAACCCCGAUUGCGAAGGCAGCAUGCCGGCUCCCGACUGACGCUGAGGCACGAAAGCGUGGGGAGCGAACAGGAUUAGAUACCCGAGUAGUC